GAUCAUCACUAACAAUGGAGAAUGACAGCACCAAGGACCCUUCACACACAGCAGACUGCUGAAGGGUGCUUUUCUCCUGGAAAGUCCCUGGAGGAAGGGGAGUCUGCAUGGCCAUGCCAGCCAUGAAACCAUCCCCGCUCCCCAUGCCUGUUUCCAGCAGGCUCAUGCCAGAAACCCAACAUGCACAUCCAGAAGUCAGCCCAGAUCACACAGCAUGAAGAAGUCCUGCUUAGCUACAUGAUGGAAUUUCACGUCAGGCUGUGGAGAUUGUGUCUGGGGAAGAGGUGGGGUUUCCGCGUCAGAUUGAUGUCACCCUGGUACCACAAGGUGUCUCAGUGGGAGAGAUAAGAAGAAGAAAAGCAUGCUUCACCCAGCUAGCAGACCACCUCCGCCCAUCUAGAUGAAAUGGUCCCUUGAGUCUCUCCCCUUUCUCCUUCUUAGCCAGGUAGGUGUCAGAACUCAGCUGUCCUGGGUCCCUGCAGCAGGAUGAAGUUUCCCUCUUGUCACCACACUUACUUCUGCAUGGAAGUGGUCAUGAAGGAGCACUGCAUUGGUGUCCUCCUAAAUGGAGUGCCUCGCAGCAUGUUAAGGGAGGUGGUAUGUGGAAGGGUACGCCUGGCAUAAGACUUUGGGACUUCUCUCCCUCCAGGAUACCGGGUUUCUCAUUCCACUGCAGGCUAGGGGUUUUGGGAUCACGAAGGUGAAGCCCCCAGCUACCGGCAGGACUCUGCCUAACUGAGGUUCUUCAGCUGGUUGCCUGACUGUGAAUGCCCAAGACUGCAGCCUUGCUGAGGUGGGGCCACUGUGGGGCCUUGUGUGAAAGGAGCUUGGGGGUUAUUGCUUGGCUUCUGGGGAAUUGACUUUGAGCCAAGACCUGACAUGUCCUGGAACACUUUCCCCAGUUGCCCCAAUCAUCAGCCAGGGCCUGCAGCUCAAUCUGCUGUAGUACUACCUGAGGGAGUUAGGGCCUCAGAGAGGGAACAGAGAGGAGGCCACGGCUGGGGGCUGAGAGGCCUGUGGCCUCAGCUGGAGCUGCGACACACCUGGAGAACCCAAAGUUCAGAAAAGAGACUGCAGUGAACAAACCCAGACCAUUCAUGGGCUGAGGGAGAAAGGCUCAUCAGGGAACUGUAAUAUCCACAUUUCAGGAUUGUAGAACCUUAAGCUGCCUAAGCAGCCUGAGUGGCUAAGUUACGUGUGUGAGAAUCAGAUUUCAGUGGAUAACUGCUUCAUCAUCCCUUACCAGCUUCCUUUGCUGCCCUUAGGCCUGCUACAACCUGAGGCUGAGGCUGGGCUAAACUAAAACCCUCUCAGCCUCUACGCAGAUGUCCACCCCAGGUCUGUCUAUGUCUGUGCUUUCCGAAUGGCUCUUCCAGCCCUGUGAUAUACUUUUACGAUGACCCCAGAUUUUCUGGCCCAACCCAGUUGACAGUGACCAGCUCUGCUGGUGGGAGUCCCUGCUCACUGGGGCUAGGAAGAAAUGCAGAACUGAUUCCCAUGUUUCAACCCAGCCAAGCGAGCCUAGGGCCUCUUCUCUCAGCCGGCCAGCCUCCUGUCCUUGCGACCCAAGUACGCGCUAAUCACUGUCUCUGUUCUCUCUCUCCCCCAACCCCGCCUUCUCCUGCUCCCGACUUCCCCAGCUCUCAGAGGAAGCCCUGGAGGAAGCACGAUGCUGAUUCUGCAGAGGAAGUGCAAGAAGGUGCGCCAGCACUCCCCAGCCUCCAGGGAAAUCUGAGGUAGGAACACAGCACUGCUACCUUCUCACCUUCUCAGGUGAGCCUCAAACCUGAACAGACUCCGGGGGCUCCACUAUAAGGAUGGGAGCUGCGUUCUGAAUAGAGAC